GCGGGAGUAAUUCAGCGGUAGAAUGCCAGCUUCCCAAGCUGGACGCCAUGGGUUCGAUCCCCAUCUCCCGCUCCA
rnacentral:tRNA from 1 species